GAUGAACGCUGCGGCGUGCCUAACACAUGCAAGUCGAGCGAGGGUUUGCUCAGUAUUGAGUAUUCUAAGACUAGAAUGUUCAAUUCUGAGCAAAACCAAGCGGCGGACGGGUGAGUAACGCGUGGGUAACCUGCCCUAUACACAUGGAUAACAUACUGAAAAGUUUACUAAUACAUGAUAAUAUAUAUUUGCGGCAUCGCAGAUAUAUCAAAGUGUUAGCGGUAUAGGAUGGACCCGCGUCUGAUUAGCUAGUUGGUGAGAUAACUGCCCACCAAGGCGACGAUCAGUAGCCGACCUGAGAGGGUGAUCGGCCACAUUGGAACUGAGACACGGUCCAAACUCCUACGGGAGGCAGCAGUGGGGAAUAUUGCACAAUGGGCGAAAGCCUGAUGCAGCAACGCCGCGUGAACGAUGAAGGUCUUCGGAUCGUAAAGUUCUGUUGCAGGGGAAGAUAAUGACGGUACCCUGUGAGGAAGCCCCGGCUAACUACAA
rnacentral:rRNA from 1 species